GACGUCUGACGUCUUGGGGGGGGGUAGAGGACGCAGAGGAGGAAGGAGAGCGGAGGAGAACGGCAGGGAAACAGUGCCGAGAAAAGAGCAAAACCAAAACCAAAACCAAUGUUUGAAUCGUCGCUUUGGUCUGUGUGCACUGUGAGAAACUUCAUUACUGGAGGUGUGGAUGCUAAAACAAGCUUUGGAGCUGUUUCUGUCAAACACGAGGCUGGACAUUAAGUACACCUGCGGUGCGAGGGGCUCACUGACUAACUUCAACCAACAAAUCAAAGAGAGAAGAGACAGACAUGAAGAUUUACACAAGGUCCAGGACUUCAGCUGCCAUCGUCUCCUCCUCCUGCUGAGACAGAACAUAUAUUAAUCACAGAAACUGAUAAAUAAAUCUUCUCCACUACAUUUUACAGUAAUACAUAUAAACCACAGAAAGGAAGUAAUGUAUGUGUUAAUUAUGAUAAUAACAAUCUUACUAAAAUUCUGCAAAAUUAUUUUGCUAUUAAUGAAUUGAUUUACCAUAUUAUUUAUUUAAAUUACUAAUUUGUUAUUUAUCAACAUUAAUAAACUGUUCAGGACUAUUUUGUUGCCUGAUCUGUUUUUAGAAAAGAAAUAAAAAUAUUU